rnacentral:rRNA from 1 species
UACGUAGGGGGCUAGCGUUGUCCGGAAUCAUUGGGCGUAAAGAGCGUGUAGGCGGCCCGGUAAGUCCGCUGUGAAAGUCGGGGGCUCAACCCUCGAAUGCCGGUGGAUACUGUCGGGCUAGAGUGCGGAAGAGGCGAGUGGAAUUCCUGGUGUAGCGGUGAGAUGCGCAGAUAUCAGGAGGAACACCGGUGGCGAAGGCGGGUCUCUGGGCCGAUACUGACGCUGAGGAGCGAAAGCGUGGGGAGCGAACAGG